rnacentral:rRNA from 1 species
GACGAACGCUGGCGGCGUGCUUAACACAUGCAAGUCGAACGGAAAGGCCUUGCUUUUGUGGUGGGCUCGAGUGGCGAAAGGGUGAGUAACACGUGAGUAACCUGACUUUGACUUUGGGAACACUUCAGGAAACUGGGGCUACUACCGGUUAUGAGCUCCUGCUGCAUGGUGGGGGUUGGGAAGUUUGGGCGGUUGGGGAUGGACUCGCGGCUUAUCAGCUUGUUGGUGGGGUAGUGGCUUAGCAAGUCGUUGACCGGUAGCCGGCCUGAAAGGGUGACCGGCCACAUUGGGACUAAGAUACGGCCCAGACGCCUACGGGAGGCAGCAGUGGGGAAUAUUGCACUGUGGGCGGGAGGCUGAUGCAGCAACGCCGCGUGCGGGAUGACGGCCUUCGGGUUGUAAACCGCUUUCGCCUUUGACGGAGCGUGAGUGACGGUAAUGGGUAAAGAAGCACCGGCUAACUACGUG